AUGGAUGAUGGGAUCAGUGGCGUUCAAGAAUCAAGUGACAUGUCUAUUUCGAGCGAUGGCGACGGCAUUAAGCAACGAAAGGAAAGCAAUGUGGAGCUUGCACAUGGCCUUGCUGAAGCUCAAUCAUAUGGAUCACUUGGAGAACCUGAAGUGGGGAUGACCUUUGAUACCGAGAAUGAGGUGAGAGAGUACUACAACACAUAUGCUAAAGCAAAAGGCUUCGGUGUGACGAGAAGGAGUUCACACAGAGAUGAUAAUGGACAACUGAAGUACCUUACGUUUUCCUGCUCUCGCUAUGGUAAGGCUCAGUCCAACUCAGGAAAUAUGUUGAAGCCAAGUCGAACAGCCGGGACAGGAUGUAAAGCUAAAAUCAAUAUUACCCGUGCUCCUGAUGGGAGGUUUCAUCUUUCGACGGUCAUUUUGGAUCAUAAUCAUACAUUAAGUCCACCUAAACCUCGGCGGUUCAGAUGCAACAAAAAGUUAGACUUCUGUGUCAAGCGAAGUCUUGAACUGAAUGACCCGGCUGAAAUACGAGUAAGCAAGAGUUCAGCCAUACCUCGUGUCACACACUUUGACAUCGAGAAGCAAUUUCAAUCAGCUUAUACAAAUUUGAAGUUCAAAGAAUUUCAAGAAGAGCUAACACAAACUAUGUACUGUGAUCGGAAGUUGAUGCAAAAGGAGGGGGCGAUAGAAAUGUAUGAAAUCACCGAGGAUGUGCUGAUUGACGAAGAUAAAGGAUGGAGAAAAGAUAUUGUGCACCAUGUAUACUUCAGUGAGGAAGAGUUUGAAGUUAAGUGUUCAUGUCGCCGCUUUGAGUUCACUGGUAUUCUCUGUAGGCAUGUGUUAUGUGUGCUCACUCACAAGAAAAUCAAGGAGGUUCCUCCACAAUACGUCUUUGAUUGGUGGAAAAAAAAUGUGAACAGAAAGCACAACUUUAUCAGAUGCACAUAUGGCGGCAUGGAAGACACUCUUGCUGCAGAACGUUUUGAUAGAUUGUGCAAUUCUUUCUACCCAGUUGCAGAGAUAGGCGCCAUGUCAGAUGAUUCAUGCAAUGCUUUGAUGGAAGAGCUUCACACCCUGAAAAUUCGAUUCUCUAGCAACUCAAGUUCUGAAAAUGGUAAGGAACAUGUUGCUACACGGGAAGAUGCACCUUUGAAUGGAAAGACAACAAGUAAAACUACACCAAGUCCAAUAGCUGUCAGGUGUGCUCGAUGUCCUCCUUCACCGAGAAAACAAUCUAUGCUUGAUAAGCUUAUUUGUCAAGCAAACGAAAAGAAGAAGGAAGCUGAACAAAAGGCUUCCUCCACAAAUUUGAACAAGAAAAGGCCCCGUAAAAAUAGAAAAUCAUCAGUGGAUGAUAUUCUAGAACAACAUAUUAUGGAACAUUCGAGUCAGCAACCUGUUUGUUUGGAUGGCCCAGCUAGUAGCAUCACAUCUCAGAGAACAUUUGACUUGGCUAUUACCACUAGCAACAUAAAUCCAUCUGUGACAGCUACAAUACCAUCUGGAGGUUCAUCGACAAUGGUUAUGCCUCAAAUUCUUGGAGAAUACACACUUAUGCCAUUUCAAGUUCAACAAGGAUCGGCUAUAGUGUCCAGCUCUGCAGAACUACACUUUGAUGGAAUUGGAGGGCUCAACAAUACGGUGGACCGGAGUUAG
rnacentral:rRNA from 1 species